UAGAUCGUGACAGGUAAGCGAAAUCUUAGGAAAGUAGCGAAGCACAUGAUGACGGCUUCCAGGAAAAGCUUCUGGCAAUGCAUAUGCGGCCCGUACCAAAACCGACACAGGUGGGCAGGGAGAGAAUCCCGAGGUGAGCGAGAGAACUGUUGCCAAGGAACUCGGCAAAAUGACUCCGUAAGUUAGCGAGAAGGAGUGCUUAAGCAAUUAAGCCGCAGUGAAGAGGCCCAAGCGACUGUUUAACUAAAACACAGCUCUCUGCGAAGUCGCAAGACGAAGUAUAGGGGGUGACACCUGCCCGGUGCUGGAAGGUUAAGAGGAUCUGUUAAGAGCGAUCUGAAGCAGUGAUCCGAAGCCCCAGUGAACGGCGGCCGUAACAAUAACGGUCCUAAGGUAGCGAAAUUCCUUGUCAGGUAAGUUCUGACCCGCACGAAAGGUGUAACGAUUUGGGCGCUGUCUCGGCAGCAGACUCGGUGAAAUCUUAGUACCUGUGAAAAUGCAGGUUACCCGCAACUAGACGGAAAGACCCCAUGGAGCUUUACUGCAGCCUGAUAUUGAAUUCUGGUCAUACAUGUACAGGAUAGGUGGAGACAAAGAGACGUGCACGCCAGUGUACGAGGAGUCGACGUUGGGAUACCACUCUUGUGUGACUGGGGUUCUAACCUGGUAUCGAGAACAGGUACGGGGAGAGUGUCAGGUGGGCAGUUUGACUGGGGCGGUCGCCUCCCAAAGAGUAACGGAGGCGCCCAAAGGUACGCUCAGAUUGGAUGGAAACCAAUCGUCGAGUGCAAUUGCAGAAGCGUGCUUGACUGUGAGACAGACAAGUCGAACAGGGACGAAAGUCGGGAAUAGUGAUCCGGCGGUGCCGAAUGGAAGGGCCGUCGCUCAACGGAUAAAAGCUACCCUGGGGAUAACAGGCUGAUCUCGCCCAAGAGUUCACAUCGACGGCGAGGUUUGGCACCUCGAUGUCGGCUCAUCGCAUCCUGGAGCUGGAUUCGGUUCCAAGGGUUGGGCUGUCCGCCCAUUAAAGCGGUACGCGAGCUGGGUUCAGAACGUCGUGAGACAGUUCGGUCCCUAUCUGUUGUGGGCGAAGGAGAUCUGCGGAGAGCUGUCCUCAGUACGAGAGGACCGGGAUGGACCUACCGCUGGUGCACCGGUUGUUCCGCCAGGGGCAUAGCCGGGUAGCUAAGUAGGGAAAGGAUAAGCGCUGAAAGCAUCUAAGCACGAAGCCUACUCCAAGAUGAGAUCUCCCAUUCGCAAGAAGUAAGACCCCUUAAAGACGAUAAGGUAGAUAGGCCAGGGAUGGAAGUGCAGCGAUGUACGGAGUUGACUGGUACUAAUCGGUCGAGGACUUAAUC
rnacentral:rRNA from 1 species